rnacentral:rRNA from 1 species
UACGUAGGGUGCAAGCGUUAAUCGGAAUUACUGGGCGUAAAGCGUGCGUAGGCGGUUAUGUAAGUCAGGUGUGAAAGCCCAGGGCUCAACCUUGGAAUUGCAUUUGAGACUGCAUAGCUAGAGUGCGGAAGAGGGAAGCGGAAUUUCCGGUGUAGCGGUGAAAUGCGUAGAUAUCGGGAGGAACACCGGUGGCGAAAGCGGCUUCCUGGUCCAGCACCGACGUUCAGGCACGAAAGCGUGGGGAGCAAACAGG